GAUGAAGACCGUAGCGAAAUGCGAUAAGUAAUGUGAAUUGCAGAAUUCCGUGAAUCAUCGAAUCUUUGAACGCACAUUGCGCCCCUUGGUAUUCCGAGGGGCAUGCCUGUUCGAGCGUCAUUAUAACCCCUCAAGCUCAGCUUGGUGUUGGGGCCUGCUGCACUGGCAGCCCUUAAAAUCAGUGGCGGCGCCAUCUGGCUCUAAGCGUAGUAAUUCUUCUCGCUAUGGAGUCCUGGUGGAUGCUUGCCAUCAACCCCCAAUUUUUCUAUGGUUGACCUCGGAUCAGGUAGGGAUACCCGCUGAACUUAAGCAUAUCAAUAAGCGGAGGA
rnacentral:misc_RNA from 1 species